rnacentral:rRNA from 1 species
UACGAGGGGGGCAAGCGUUGUUCGGAUUUAUUGGGCGUAAAGGGUGCGUAGGCGGUUUGGCAAGUCUUGUGUGAAAUCUUUGGGCUCAACCCAAAGCCUGCAUAAGAAACUGCCGGGCUUGAGUAUGGGAGAGGUGAGUGGAAUUUCCGGUGUAGCGGUGAAAUGCGUAGAUAUCGGAAGGAACACCAGGGGCGAAGGCGGCAUCCUGGCUCUGUUCUGACGCUGAGGCGCGAGAGCGUGGGGA